GGGCAGGGCUCGGGGGCCGCGGUAGCGCGGUGUCGAGCAACGCGGCGGCCAUAAAAAUCAAACUCCGGUGGGUCGGCGCGGGGAGGACGCAGGGAGAGGACUGCUGUGGGGCCAGAAAAAGUGGAGUAAGUGAACCGUCAUAAGAACAGAUUGAAACCACUAAGAACAAUGGCCAGCACCUGGACUUGGUAUCAAUCAAUCACGAAGCAGGGGACCUUGGAUUGUGCCAGAGGGUCACAGAGACCUGAUGAAGACUCUCCUGACUUCAUCCUUCGAGACCACUGACCCAAUUCGAGACCACCGACCCAAUCCAAGAGAAGAACUGCGCACGCGUGAAGGACUAAUAGCCUCAUUUUAACACAGAGCGGGGAUGGGAGGUGCUGGGGUUAUGCAUAUGUAUUUUAUGUAAGGUCUUGGAAAAUAAAUAGAGAGCAAAGAGCCUUGUUUGGGGCGGCCACGCCUUUCGGAGAUGACUCCCGUGCCACCCGCCAGUGAAUAAACAUACCACUUUCUAACUUUAA